rnacentral:rRNA from 1 species
GAUGAACGCUGGCGGCGUGCUUAACACAUGCAAGUCGAACGAAGCACUCUAAUUGAUUUCUUCGGAAUGAAGUUUUUGUGACUGAGUGGCGGACGGGUGAGUAACGCGUGAGGAACCUGCCUCAAAGAGGGGGACAACAGUUGGAAACGACUGCUAAUACCGCAUAAGCCCACGGCUCGGCAUCGAGCAGAGGGAAAAGGAGUAAUCCGCUUUGAGAUGGCCUCGCGUCCGAUUAGCUAGUUGGUGAGGUAACGGCCCACCAAGGCGACGAUCGGUAGCCGGACUGAGAGGUUGAACGGCCACAUUGGGACUGAGACACGGCCCAGACUCCUACGGGAGGCAGCAGUGGGGAAUAUUGCACAAUGGGGGAAACCCUGAUGCAGCGACGCCGCGUGGAGGAAGAAGGUCUUCGGAUUGUAAACUCCUGUUGUUGAGGAAGAUAAUGACGGUACUCAACAAGGAAGUGACGGCUAACUACGUGCCAGCAGCCGCGGU